rnacentral:rRNA from 1 species
AAGUCGAACGCUUCUUUCCUCCCGAGUGCUUGCACUCAAUUGGAAAGAGGAGUGGCGGACGGGUGAGUAACACGUGGGUAACCUACCCAUCAGAGGGGGAUAACACUUGGAAACAGGUGCUAAUACCGCAUAACAGUUUAUGCCGCAUGGCAUAAGAGUGAAAGGCGCUUUCGGGUGUCGCUGAUGGAUGGACCCGCGGUGCAUUAGCUAGUUGGUGAGGUAACGGCUCACCAAGGCCACGAUGCAUAGCCGACCUGAGAGGGUGAUCGGCCACACUGGGACUGAGACACGGCCCAGACUCCUACGGGAGGCAGCAGUAGGGAAUCUUCGGCAAUGGACGAAAGUCUGACCGAGCAACGCCGCGUGAGUGAAGAAGGUUUUCGGAUCGUAAAACUCUGUUGUUAGAGAAGAACAAGGACGUUAGUAACUGAACGUCCCCUGACGGUAUCUAACCAGAAAGCCACGGCUAACUACGUGCCAGCAGCCGCGGUAAUACGUAGGUGGCAAGCGUUGUCCGGAUUUAUUGGGCGUAAAGCGAGCGCAGGCGGUUUCUUAAGUCUGAUGUGAAAGCCCCCGGCUCAACCGGGGAGGGUCAUUGGAAACUGGGAGACUUGAGUGCAGAAGAGGAGAGUGGAAUUCCAUGUGUAGCGGUGAAAUGCGUAGAUAUAUGGAGGAACACCAGUGGCGAAGGCGGCUCUCUGGUCUGU